AACGCGAAGAACCUUACCUACUCUUGAAUCCACGGAAUUUUGCAGAGAUGCGAAAGUGCCUUCGGGAACCGUGAGACAGGUGCUGCAUGGCUGUCGUCAGCUCGUGUCGUGAGAUGUUGGGUUAAGUCCCGUAACGAGCGCAACCCUUGUCCUUAGUUGCUAGCGGGUAAUGCCGAGGACUCUAAGGAGACUGCCAGUGAUAAACUGGAGGAAGGUGGGGACGAUGUCAAGUCAUCAUGGCCCUUACGAGUAGGGCUACACACGUGCUACAAUGGCCGGUACAAAGGGCAGCGAAAUCGCGAGAUGGAGCAAAUCCUAAAAAGCCGGUCGUAGUCCGGAUUGGAGUCUGCAACUCGACUCCAUGAAGCUGGAAUCGCUAGUAAUCGUGGAUCAGAACGCCACGGUGAAUACGUUCCCGGGCCUUGUACACACCGGAGUA
rnacentral:rRNA from 1 species